ACGCUCUUUAAAGUGGCGGUGACGUGUUGGUAAUAAUAUUCAUAUCACAGCCAGCUUUGAGAGCGUUG
rnacentral:pre_miRNA from 12 species